rfam:Caenorhabditis japonica strain DF5081 Contig9710.1, whole genome shotgun sequence.
UACCUGAUUGAUUCUGUCAGCGCGAUAUGCUCAAGUAAAAGAUUAAGCCAUGCAUGCUUUGAUUCAUAAAUGAAAUUGCGUACGGCUCAUUAGAGCAGAUAUCACCUUUCUCGGAAUCCUGAAAAGGAUAACUGCGGAAAUUCUGGAGCUAAUACAUGCGACUAUACUCCAACGCAAGGCGGGGUGCAAUUAUUAGAACAGACCAAACGUUUUCGGACGUUGUUUGUUGACUCUGAAUACCGUCGUUUACUGUCAGUUUCGACUGACUCUAUCCGAGAAGGGUGUCUGCCCUUUCAACUAGAUGGUAAUCUAUUGGACUACCAUGGUUGUUACGGGUAACGGAGAAUUAGGGUUCGACUCCGGAGAGGGAGCCUUAGAAACGGCUACCACGUCCAAGGAAGGCAGCAGGCGCGAAACUUAUCCACUGUUGAGUAUGAGAUAGUGACUAAAAAUAUAAAGACUCAUCCUUUUGGAUGAGUUAUUUCAAUGAGUUGAAUAUAAAUUAUUCUUC